GUUACAAGGGUAAAACAGG
rnacentral:snRNA from 1 species